rnacentral:misc_RNA from 1 species
CAAAUCUUUGCGAGUGCUGCGUUUACGCAGUAUCUCACACAUUAGCACAAGGUCGCAAGGCCUUGAUGUUUACGCUUGUUUGUUUGACAGAGUUAGUUGAGACUAAAUAUAGA